GUGGUGGCUCAGUAGGAGAGUGCUUGCCUAGCAUGCACGAGGCACUGGGUUCAAUCCUCAGCACCACG
rnacentral:tRNA from 1 species